rnacentral:rRNA from 1 species
AUUGAACGCUGGCGGCAGGCCUAACACAUGCAAGUCGAGCGGCAGCGACUUAACUGAACCUUCGGGGAACGUUAAGGGCGGCGAGCGGCGGACGGGUGAGUAAUGCCUGGGAAUAUGCCCUGAUGUGGGGGAUAACUAUUGGAAACGAUAGCUAAUACCGCAUAAUCUCUUCGGAGCAAAGAGGGGGACCUUCGGGCCUCUCGCGUCAGGAUUAGCCCAGGUGGGAUUAGCUUGUUGGUGAGGUAAUGGCUCACCAAGGCUACGAUCCCUAGCUGGUCUGAGAGGAUGAUCAGCCACACUGGAACUGAGACACGGUCCAGACUCCUACGGGAGGCAGCAGUGGGGAAUAUUGCACAAUGGGGGAAACCCUGAUGCAGCCAUGCCGCGUGUGUGAAGAAGGCCUUCGGGUUGUAAAGCACUUUCAGUAGGGAGGAAGGUAGUGUAGUUAACACCUGCAUUAUUUGACGUUACCUACAGAAGAAGCACCGGCUAACUCCGUGCCAGCAGCCGCGGUAAUACGGAGGGUGCGAGCGUUAAUCGGAAUUACUGGGCGUAAAGCGCAUGCAGGCGGCCUGUUAAGUCAGAUGUGAAAGCCCGGGGCUUAACCUCGGAAUUGCAUUUGAAACUGGCAGGCUAGAGUCUUGUAGAGGGGGGUAGAAUUUCAGGUGUAGCGGUGAAAUGCGUAGAGAUCUGAAGGAAUACCAGUGGCGAAGGCGGCCCCCUAAAGACUGACGCUCAGAUGCGAAAGCGUGGGGAGCAAACAGG